GUGUACGUAAUUUAAACAAAAUACCAAGCCGUGACCUUGAAUAUAGAGACAUGUCUCUCGCACACC
rnacentral:tRNA from 1 species